rnacentral:rRNA from 1 species
AGAGUUUGAUCCUGGCUCAGGACGAACGCUGGCGGCGUGCUUAACACAUGCAAGUCGAACGGAAAGGCCCUGCUUUUGUGGGGUGCUCGAGUGGCGAACGGGUGAGUAACACGUGAGUAACCUGCCCUUGACUUUGGGAUAACUUCAGGAAACUGGGGCUAAUACCGGAUAGGAGCUCCUGCUGCAUGGUGGGGGUUGGAAAGUUUCGGCGGUUGGGGAUGGACUCGCGGCUUAUCAGCUUGUUGGUGGGGUAGUGGCUUACCAAGGCUUUGACGGGUAGCCGGCCUGAGAGGGUGACCGGCCACAUUGGGACUGAGAUACGGCCCAGACUCCUACGGGAGGCAGCAGUGGGGAAUAUUGCACAAUGGGCGGAAGCCUGAUGCAGCAACGCCGCGUGCGGGAUGACGGCCUUCGGGUUGUAAACCGCUUUCGCCUGUGACGAAGCGUGAGUGACGGUAAUGGGUAAAGAAGCACCGGCUAACUACGUGCCAGCAGCCGCGGUGAUACGUAGGGUGCGAGCGUUGUCCGGAUUUAUUGGGCGUAAAGGGCUCGUAGGUGGUUGAUCGCGUCGGAAGUGUAAUCUUGGGGCUUAACCCUGAGCGUGCUUUCGAUACGGGUUGACUUGAGGAAGGUAGGGGAGAAUGGAAUUCCUGGUGGAGCGGUGGAAUGCGCAGAUAUCAGGAGGAACACCAGUGGCGAAGGCGGUUCUCUGGGCCUUUCCUGACGCUGAGGAGCGAAAGCGUGGGGAGCGAACAGGCUUAGAUACCCUGGUAGUCCACGCUGUAAACGGUGGGUACUAGGUGUGGGGUCCAUUCCACGGGUUCCGUGCCGUAGCUAACGCUUUAAGUACCCCGCCUGGGGAGUACGGCCGCAAGGCUAAAACUCAAAGGAAUUGACGGGGCCCCGCACAAGCGGCGGAGCAUGCGGAUUAAUUCGAUGCAACGCGUAGAACCUUACCUGGGUUUGACAUGGAUCGGGAGUGCUCAGAGAUGGGUGUGCCUCUUUUGGGGUCGGUUCACAGGUGGUGCAUGCCUGUCGUCAGCUCGUGUCGUGAGAUGUUGGGUUAAGUCCCGCAACGAGCG